rnacentral:rRNA from 1 species
GAUGAACGCUGGCGGCGUGCCUAAUACAUGCAAGUCGAGCGAACAGACGAGGAGCUUGCUGCUCUGACGUUAGCGGCGGACGGGUGAGUAACACGUGGAUAACCUACCUAUAAGACUGGGAUAACUUCGGGAAACCGGAGCUAAUACCGGAUAAUAUAUUGAACCGCAUGGUUCAAUAGUGAAAGACGGUUUUGCUGUCACUUAUAGAUGGAUCCGCGCCGCAUUAGCUAGUUGGUAAGGUAACGGCUUACCAAGGCGACGAUGCGUAGCCGACCUGAGAGGGUGAUCGGCCACACUGGAACUGAGACACGGUCCAGACUCCUACGGGAGGCAGCAGUAGGGAAUCUUCCGCAAUGGGCGAAAGCCUGACGGAGCAACGCCGCGUGAGUGAUGAAGGUCUUCGGAUCGUAAAACUCUGUUAUUAGGGAAGAACAAAUGUGUAAGUAACUAUGCACGUCUGGACGGUACCUAAUCAGAAAGCCACGGCUAACUACGU